rnacentral:tRNA from 1 species
GAUCUGUUAGCUCAGUCGGUAGAGCAACGGCCUUUUAAGCCGUGGGUCUUGGGUUCGAGUCCCAAACAGAUCA